GACGAACGCUGGCGGCGUGCCUCAGACAUGCAAGUCGAACGAUUAAAGCUCUCUUCGGAGAGUGCAUAGAGUGGCGCACGGGUGAGUAACACGUAAGUAAUCUACCCUCGAGUGGGGAAUAACGUCCGGAAACGGACGCUAAUACCGCAUAAUGCAGCGGCACCGCAAGGUGACAGUUGUUAAAGAUUUAUCGCUUGAGGAGGAGCUUGCGGCAGAUUAGCAGUUGGUAAGGUAAUGGCUUACCAAGGCUACGAUCUGUAACCGGUCUAAGAGGACGGUCGGUCACACUGACACUGAAUAACGGGUCAGACUCCUACGGGAGGCAGCAGUCGGGAAUUUUGGGCAAUGGGCGAAAGCCUGACCCAGCAACGCCGCGUGAAGGAUGAAGUAUUUCGGUAUGUAAACUUCGAAAGAAUGGGAAGAAUCAAUGACGGUACCAUUUAUAAGGUCC
rnacentral:rRNA from 1 species